rnacentral:rRNA from 1 species
CCCUUAGAUGUUCUGGGCUGCACGCGCGCUACACUGAUGCGCUCAACGAGUUUUAACCUUGCCUGGAAAGGUUGGGUAAUCUUUUUAAAACGCAUCGUGAUGGGGAUAGAUUAUUGCAAUUAUUAAUCUUCAACGAGGAAUUCCUAGUAAGCGCGAGUCAUCAGCUCGUGCUGAUUACGUCCCUGCCCUUUGUACACACCGCCCGUCGCUCCUACCGAUUGAGUGGUCCGGUGAAAUCUUCGGAUUGAGACUUUGAUUUCUUCACGGAAAACGCUGUUUUAAGAAGUUGAUUAAACCUUACCAUUUAGAGGAAGGUGAAGCCGUAACA